GGAGUGGGGGUCAAGUUCUUGGCUUUUCAGAUUAAAAUCAAUUCUUGAAUCUCAUCACAGAGAAUGGUCUUGAAAGCAAGCGCUGGGCAUUUAGAAGUUGAGUGGCUAAGCCCUGAAGGGACCCAGUCGGAAAUGUGUGCCAGCAACUUGCAUACAUGAAGUGGGAAGAGAAGAGAUGAAAAGUCAGAUGACCCCACUUAAAGGCUUCAUGAAGACUAUCAGACUGGAGGGAGAGGAAGCUUCACUGUUGGAGAAUCCUGUAGAAAGGGAUUGAUGUCCAGGGAGGAGGGGAGGCAGGACAAUAAGGAUAGCAGACAGGCAUGAGGGGGUUCCCGACUAUUCCUGGGGGCAGCCAGGAACAGUUUGGAACUGCUAGGGGAGUUGGGGGAGGUGGGGGCGGGCAACAACAGAUCGGUAAGACAGGUUUUGGAUGUGAGCACAGAGGGCUUGGCUUAGCUCCUGUCUGGAGGUCUGGGAGGCUGUGCAGACAAAUUCAUUCCAUGGGGACUAGGGGAUGGAGUCAAGAUGUUUUCCUGGGGACCAGGGUAAUGAUGAGAUUCUAUCAAGGGAACCGAACAUUCUCCAGUGUCUCGCAGUCAGAGGGCAGCCAGCACUCCUGGUGCCCUGCGAAGGCAUGGCCGUCCACUGAGGAUGAAGCGAGCGGCGCAGAGGAUACCACAAUGCAGGCAGAGCCACGGGCAUCACAGUGACUGUGCAGGCCUGAGGCCCAUGGAGCCCUGGCCACCCCGGACAACAUCAGUGAGGGGCAGUUCCUUUUCUUUUUCUUUCUUUCUUUUCUUUUUUCUUUCUUUCUUUUUUUUUUUUUUUUUUUGGAGACACAGUCUCAUUCUAUCCCCCAGGCUGGAGUGCAGUGGUACAAUCUUG
rnacentral:lncRNA from 10 species